AUGGUACUGUUAUUUUUAAUUGCAACAUCAUUUUUGCUCAUAUGUUAUGCAUUUUUUUCUCCUACAGUCCUACAGGUGAUCAAGACGCAUAUAAUUAAAAAGGAGAUGACAGGGCUGAAAAUUCGGUAUGUACCGAGUCUAUCCACCCUACAGGUUUCUGUAGUUCAAGAUCAAAGGCAAGAAUCUGCCAAAUAUGAUGAUGAGAACAAGGCUAACGAUGGAGAACCCUCUUCUACGAAAACUCAGCAAUCUUUUGGGAGAACUAAUAUCGAUGAUAUACUUACAGAUAAAUCCCAGGUCUAA
rnacentral:rRNA from 1 species